rnacentral:rRNA from 1 species
UACGAAGGGUGCAAGCGUUACUCGGAAUUACUGGGCGUAAAGCGUGCGUAGGUGGUUCGUUAAGUCUGAUGUGAAAGCCCUGGGCUCAACCUGGGAAUUGCAUUGGAUACUGGCGGGCUAGAGUGCGGUAGAGGAUGGCGGAAUUCCCGGAGUAGCAGUGAAAUGCGUAGAGAUCGGGAGGAACAUCCGUGGCGAAGGCGGCCAUCUGGACCAGCACUGACACUGAGGCACGAAAGCGUGGGGAGCAAACAGG